rnacentral:rRNA from 1 species
AUUUGCAGCCACACCACCCCAAGCUGAGAUCUAAGCAGAUCUUGUAAGGUAAGCAGGGUUGUGCCUAGUUAGAACUUGGAUGAGAGAUCUCAAAGGAACUCCUAAGUGCUGCAGGAA